rnacentral:rRNA from 1 species
AUACAUGGCAACGUCGAAACGCUUUUUCUUUCACCGGAGCUUGCUCCACCGAAAGAAAAGGAGUGGCGAACGGGUGAGUAACACGUGGGUAACCUGCCCAUCAGAAGGGGAUAACACUUGGAAACAGGUGCUAAUACCGUAUAACAAUAGAAACCGCAUGGUUUCUAUUUGAAAGGCGCUUUUGCGUCACUGAUGGAUGGACCCGCGGUGCAUUAGCUAGUUGGUGAGGUAACGGCUCACCAAGGCAACGAUGCAUAGCCGACCUGAGAGGGUGAUCGGCCACAUUGGGACUGAGACACGGCCCAAACUCCUACGGGAGGCAGCAGUAGGGAAUCUUCGGCAAUGGACGAAAGUCUGACCGAGCAACGCCGCGUGAGUGAAGAAGGUUUUCGGAUCGUAAAACUCUGUUGUUAGAGAAGAACAAGGAUGAGAGUAAAAUGUUCAUCCCUUGACGGUAUCUAACCAGAAAGCCACGGCUA